rnacentral:tRNA from 1 species
UCCCAGGUGGCUCAACUGGUAAAGAAUCUGCCUGCAAUGUAGGAGACCCGGGUUCAAUUCCUGGGUUGGGAA